rnacentral:rRNA from 1 species
CAAAAACAUCUUCUGAAUUUAAUAUUUCAGGUAGAGCCUGCUCACUGAUUUAAAGAGCCGCAGUAUCCUAACUGUGCUAAGGUAGCAUAAUCAUUAGUUACUUAAUUUGUAACUAGAAUGAACGGCCUGACAAAAGAAUAACUUUAUUAUUUUUUGGUUAAAUUAAUUUAAGAAUAAAAAAGUUCUUAUAAACUAGAAAGACGAUAAGACCCUAAAACCUUAUAUAUAAAUAUUUACUGGGGCGGUAAUUUAUUAUCCAUAAGUUAAAAUAACACAAUGAAUGAUAUUAUCUAUUUAAUUAACUCAAAAAGGUACUUUAGGGAUAACAGCAUAAUUUUUAUUUAGAGUUCUUAUCGACAUAAAAGAUUAUGACCUCGAUGUUGAAUUGAUUUAACUAUUUUAGGCAGCCCUCAAAUUAGUAGGUCUGUUCGACCUUUAAAUGAUCACAUGAUCUGAGUUCAAACCG